rnacentral:misc_RNA from 1 species
GAUGAAGAACGUAGCGAAAAGCGAUAAGUAAUGUGAAUUGCAGAAUUCAGUGAAUCAUCGAAUCUUUGAACGCACAUUGCGCCCGCCAGUAUUCUGGCGGGCAUGCCUGUCUGAGCGUCAUUUCAACCCUCAUGCCCCUAGGGCGUGGUGUUGGGGAUCGGCCAAAGCCCGCGAGGGACGGCCGGCCCCUAAAUCUAGUGGCGGACCCGUCGUGGCCUCCUCUGCGAAGUAGUGAUAUUCCGCAUCGGAGAGCGACGAGCCCCUGCCGUUAAACCCCCAACUUUCCAAGGUUGACCUCAGAUCAGGUAGGAAUACCCGCUGAACUUAAGCAUAUCAAUAAGCGGAGGA